UACGGAGGGGCUAGCGUUGUUCGGAAUUACUGGGCGUAAAGCGCACGUAGGCGGACUUUUAAGUCGGGGGUGAAAUCCCGAGGCUCAACCUCGGAACUGCCUUCGAUACUGGAAGUCUUGAGUCCGGGAGAGGUGAGUGGAACUCCGAGUGUAGAGGUGAAAUUCGUAGAUAUUCGGAAGAACACCAGUGGCGAAGGCGGCUCACUGGCCCGGUACUGACGCUGAGAUACGAAAGCGUGGGGAGCAAACAGGG
rnacentral:rRNA from 1 species